GACCGCUCCAGUGACCUAGUGGUUAAAGCGUCCGCCUCGGAUACAGGAGGUCGUGGGUUCGAACCCCAGCAGAGUCA